CGGAGGCGGAGCCCGAGCCCGCCCUGCAGGCCCCCCUCGCGCCGGCCGCGCCGCACCGGGGAUCCCCGCUCUCCGCCGCGCACCGCGAGGGUCGCCAGGCCGGAGUCACCCGUCCCGGAAAAGGACCGCGCAGCAGACCCGAGGUUUCGCGACAAACGAGCAGUUGUCCCCAUCGCGGCCUUCCGGGCGCAGAGUUUUCUCAAAACAGCGGACACCUGCGAGGCCGAAAGGCUCCCUCAGCCUCAAAGAACAAAAACCACCAGGAGCGUUCAAAGGGCAUUUACGGAGGCCAUGUUUCUUCAGAGAAGUUCAGGAGGAUAAAAGUACUGGAAGGCGCCCCUGGGAGAGGAAAUGGAAAUACAGAGACUUUCCAGAGGCUGACCCAGUUUCCUGACCUGACUCCACUGCUCACUGUGAUCACAGCUCCUCUAAGCCUCACUCCUCAACUCUACCAUGAGGAUAAUCAUAGUUCCCACUCCAGAGGGGUGUGGUGAGAGUUAACUAAGAAGGCACUGGGCACUCUGCGUGGUGACAGUAUACCUGAAGAGUCAAGCCUAAAGAGGUGAACCAGAGAGAUGGUAGAGAGACAGGGCUCUAAGGACGCUACUGAGUCUCCGCUUUCACAGCGUCCCUCAACUCAGCUCUCUUCCUGGACUUCCCUUUUUUGUUUGCCUGCUCUGGGUUCUAUUCCUGCCACUGACAAACAUUUAACUAAUAAAAAAGGAAAACUGUGAGGAAUUUGGAAGAGAGGUCAUUCCUUAACCUCACAGCCAGCAUCAGGGGAGAUGGAGACAUGUAUACUGUGUGGAAGAAAGGUAGUGGGGCAUGUGUAAAGGACAAAGGCAACCAUCAAGAGGGGAGGGUCAUCCUGAGAAGCAGUGGAGGUCAAGGGAGGAAUUUCACACAGAACAGGGAUUUGGCAGUACAGAGGGGUUUAACUCCAAUUCUGAAUCACACCACUGUUCUUGUGUUUCAAUACAUAAUACACCUGUGCUUUGUUACUAUCAAUUUUCUGAAAAGAGCCCACGUGUGAAAUUUGUCCAGAACACUGAACUCACAGGUGCAUCAACAGUAAACAAAGGAUUAUCGUUACUAAUGGGAAAGUUGCAGAUUACCUGAAGGAUGGAGGGUAUACCUCUGAGACUGGUACCAUGUAGCUAAGAGUUGCUUAUUAUGAUAAAAAAAAAAAAAAAAAAAAACUUUUAAAAUU